AAUUAUAGCGUGUGUUUAAGUUAAAGUGACUGUGGAAAUUAUGUGUAUUGCAAAGUUGUAUUGAGAAAGGACUUGUAUCACUGAAGUUCUUCAGAAAGAAUAUUUAGGAGAAAUUAACAAGCAUAAGAGACGUAACAAUAUUAAAACAGUUAUCCCUAUUAAAGAAUAACUAAACUUAUAGUUUUCAGAGAAACAAGAAAAGGUAAUCUUGCUAGAAGCAUCAUAGAUUUAUAAUUAAACUAACUGUAGCUUAUACAUUAAAUUUUACAGAUCCACAAAUAAACAUUAUUAAUAACAAGUAUGUGCUUAAAUUUUUGUUCAAAAUCUUUAAAGACAAGUAUCAUACAUUGUUACUUGCAUGGUAAUUUGCACAGACUUGGACUCAAUAUAGAAUUAUAUUAGUAUUAAUCAUAUUAUUAAUAAUUAUCAUUACUAAGCCAAAGAGAGAAGUAAUAAUCUAUCUUUAUUCAAAUUAAUAAUUUAAUAUAAGUUUAAAUCCCAUCUUAAAAGUUAUAGUUAUAUGACUAAGGAAUCAGACUUUAUCAAAAACAUCCAAAUUUCAAAAUCAGAGGAAAACAGAAACUUCUGGAAUUUAAGAACGUGAAAUCAAAAUGUCAAAACUUGUAAUACAAACUACAGUGGACUUGUACUAAAUUAGGUGUAAACUGUACUCAAUGUUAGGUUACUGGAGUGAGGCCGGAUGUGCAAUUAAAAUAUAUGCUUUUUAUUUUUUGAAAAGUAAACAAUUAUUGAUAUUCUUUUAGUCUUGAAUACAAAGUAUUAUGGGAAAUAGCUAAAAGCUCUACUGUAAAGUGUCAGCAGAAAGUAAGUGUCCAAGUCUGCCACCAAAUGGUGGUGCUUCAAGUGACAGUCAGUUGAAUGAGAGGAGUAGAAUUGCAAGAAAGCUUGAUCCUGUUGACUUGUUAAAUUUUUAGGACUUGUUUGUACCUUAUCAUAUCCAUAUUAACAUGCCAAAGCUUUUCAAGAGAAAAAAAAAAGAAAUAUCAUGUAAAACAGAACUCAAUGACAGGAAAAUAGCUAGUAAAUGAAUUCACACUGAAAGGUUAAUUGAACAAGAAAAAAAUAUAAAAUUCUUAAUCAGCCAAUGAAUGCUAAAGAAACUCAGGCAGUGAAAUGAUAUUCAUUCACUACAUGCUUUACAACUUUAAAAAAUGUAUUGUCUUAAAGAUGCAUAGCUAAUAACACAGUGCAAUUUGAUGUAAAAUUUUAUGUUACAAUUAAAUUUGUAUUAUUAAGUACCAGUUACUAUUAAAGCAUUAUUUCUCCUUUAUUUUGUGUUCCUCCACAGUCUAAUAAAAUGCCAACAAAUAGUUUCAGGUAUGUAUGGAUUUUACUUACUUCAUAUGAACAUUUUAGUUUGAAUUUUUAAACCAAAAUACUGAUAUACACAUGUUGUACAGAAUGAUACCAUGUGUUUACUACCCCACACCAGUUAGUAUGUAGUUUUUCUUGAACUUUCUAUAUUCUUACAGUUCAGUUUGGACCCAGAGACUUGCUCAAGUAAACAUUUCCUUAUUUUAGUUGCAUAUGGGACCAGAUUCAUUAAUUUGUUAUUGCGUUUUCUUGCACAAAAAAUAGCUUUGAUUUCACAUGUGAUGUCGCAAAACAGACAGCUGUUUUUUUUGUCAGUGAAUUAUGCAAUGGCCAGGGGCUUCUUCACCCUCUAUGCUCGAACAUGUAUGGUUUCAGGUCAGUUGUGCAAGGUGUAUGUAUUAAGCAACCUAGUUUUUUUCAUGUUAUUGUAUUUUAGUGUUUAAAAGCCAGGAUCUUACUUGUUAAGCAGAUUUUGAGCUUUCAUAGACUUUUUGAUUUGGAGUGAUUUUUGAUUAGAGAUCUUGUUAGCUUUCAUUUAGUUCAUGCUCUACUUUGAAAGGUUUGACCUACAUUAACAUUGUAGAAUUAUUUUACAUUUAAGAUUUUUUUAACUUAUGGGGGCUCAUACUGAAUUGAUGAGAGAAAACCAAUAAAGGUUUCUGUUCACAUUCCUUCUCUUACAUCUACUAUAAACACUUGCCCUUGUUUUUAUUUCAUUAUAUUUGUACUUUGAUUGUCGUUUUGUAUGUUUGUAUUCUGACUCCUUUUUUGAUGAACUCAGUAGGAGCUCCAAAAGUUAACAAACCUGUGUACUGUUACAUUAUAUUUGUCAGAACUCCAAUUAAGUGGACCCUACAUAAUGCUCUGUAAAAGAGCUGUUUACCAGGAAAUACCACACAUGUAUACACAACAAAUUAGGUUUAUUUUUUAGAAGCAAAUCAAUAUUUGAUCUCCACAAGCAGUUCUUUGUCUACAACUUAAUCUAGUGAUGAUGAACGGUAAAGAUGACAAGGAUUCACAAAUAGGAACAUUUGAUCUCCUCAAGCAGUUCUUGGUCUAUAAUACCAUCUGGUAGUGAUAACAGGCUCUUUGUCGCUAUCCCUAAUUUUGAACUACUGACCAGAGGGAAGUUAGUUAACAGCACUCUACAGCUCACCAUUCACGAUGGGGGAUUGACUACCACUCUUGUAACGUAUCCACAUCAGUGACUUUAGAAACCGACACCUUAUCCAAGAUUCAAUAAAAGAGGUUACAGGAUUUGGUCUUCAGCAUAAGACGUGUACUGUGCUGAAUCGUAUCCGCACCGGGCUAGCAACGGAUUAAAGACACCCCUGUAUGUGUGUGUGUGUAAUUUUGAACAUCCAACUCAAACAACCGAUUACAUUAUAUAUUUGUGCCCUAAACGCCGCUUUUCGGGAGGUAUCGGUGACCUCCAUACAACAACACCUGAUGCUAUCAAAUAAAUCUGAAGUUUCGAUAUACAACUCUAAUUUGCUGUUUUAAUACUUCAUACGAAGAAGAACGUGCCCACAACUUAUAGUGUGUAUGCGUGGAAGGAGGGAUGUUUGUGGUAUUGAAUGGAUUGGACCUCAGUUCGCCGGCUACUACAAGUGGAAGGAGGGAUCUUUGUGGUGUUGAAUGGAUUGGAACUUAGUUCGCCAGCUACUACAAGGCCAAACCACAUACCUCAGGGAAAGAUCAAUUUCAUGAUCUAGUCGGCCAAAAACUCAUUAAAAUUCUAAAUGAAAGCACUGAUGUGAUGAAUCUUUUUACCAAACUUUUUAGUAAAAAUGUUUGUAAUCAUAUGAAAAGUUAUUCAUCGUGUUUUAAUAACUUCAUUCAGAGACCAAUACGAUCAUUUUGUCCUUUAAGGCUGUCUCUACACGCCUCCCCCUCGCUAUUAAGAAAAGUAAAAAUAUAUGUCAACCUUUAAUUUUUCAGGAAAUUAUUGAUUUUCUUUUUCAAACUUUCGUAAAACGUCAGCCUCUACUACUGCUGACAGCGACUCGUCUUUUAAGUCAAUUACCCUGUUAGAAAAAUAAAAAUGUCUUAAUUCAAA
rnacentral:lncRNA from 1 species